rnacentral:rRNA from 1 species
UACGUAGGUGACAAGCGUUGUCCGGAUUUACUGGGCGUAAAGAGCGCGCAGGCGGUCGAUCAAGUCGAGUGUGAAAGCCCCCCGGCUCAACUGGGGAGGGUCAUUCGAUACUGAUCGACUCGAAGGCAGGAGAGGGUAGUGGAAUUCCCGGUGUAGUGGUGAAAUGCGUAGAUAUCGGGAGGAACACCAGUGGCGAAGGCGGCAUCCUGGACCGAGAUUGACGCUGAACGGCGAAAGCUAGGGGAGCAAACAGG